GUUAAGUUAGAAAGGGCGCACGGUGGAUGCCUUGACACUAGGAGUCGAUGAAGGACGGGACUAACGCCGAUAUGCUUCGGGGAGCUGUAAGUAAGCUUUGAUCCGAAGAUUUCCGAAUGGGGAAACCCACCAUACGUAAUGGUAUGGUAUCCUUAUCUGAAUACAUAGGGUAAGGAAGACAGACCCAGGGAACUGAAACAUCUAAGUACCUGGAGGAAGAGAAAGCAAAUGCGAUUUCCUGAGUAGCGGCGAGCGAAACGGAACAUAGCCCAAACCAAGAGGCUUGCCUCUUGGGGUUGUAGGACAUUCUAUACGGAGUUACAAAGGAACGAGGUAGACGAAGCGACCUGGAAAGGUCCGUCGUAGAGGGUAACAACCCCGUAGUCGAAACUUCGUUCUCUCUUGAAUGUAUCCUGAGUACGGCGGAACACGUGAAAUUCCGUCGGAAUCUGGGAGGACCAUCUCCCAAGGCUAAAUACUCCCUAGUGAUCGAUAGUGAACCAGUACCGUGAGGGAAAGGUGAAAAGCACCCCGGAAGGGGAGUGAAAGAGAUCCUGAAACCGUGUGCCUACAAAUAGUCAGAGCCCGUUAACGGGUGAUGGCGUGCCUUUUGUAGAAUGAACCGGCGAGUUACGAUCCCGUGCGAGGUUAAGCUGAAGAGGCGGAGCCGCAGCGAAAGCGAGUCUGAAUAGGGCGUUUAGUACGUGGUCGUAGACCCGAAACCAGGUGAUCUACCCAUGUCCAGGGUGAAGUUCAGGUAACACUGAAUGGAGGCCCGAACCCACGCACGUUGAAAAGUGCGGGGAUGAGGUGUGGGUAGCGGAGAAAUUCCAAUCGAACCUGGAGAUAGCUGGUUCUCCCCGAAAUAGCUUUAGGGCUAGCCUUAAGUGUAAGAGUCUUGGAGGUAGAGCACUGAUUGGACUAGGGGUCCUCAUCGGAUUACCGAAUUCAGUCAAACUCCGAAUGCCAAUGACUUAUCCUUAGGAGUCAGACUGCGAGUGAUAAGAUCCGUAGUCAAAAGGGAAACAGCCCAGACCGCCAGCUAAGGUCCCAAAGUGUGUAUUAAGUGGAAAAGGAUGUGGAGUUGCUUAGACAACUAGGAUGUUGGCUUAGAAGCAGCCACCAUUUAAAGAGUGCGUAAUAGCUCACUAGUCGAGUGACUCUGCGCCGAAAAUGUACCGGGGCUAAAUACACCACCGAAGCUGCGGAUUGAUACCGAAUGGUAUCAGUGGUAGGGGAGCGUUCUAAGGACAGUGAAGUCAGACCGUAAGGACUGGUGGAGUGCUUAGAAGUGAGAAUGCCGGUAUGAGUAGCGAAAGACGGGUGAGAAUCCCGUCCACCGAAUGCCUAAGGUUUCCUGAGGAAGGCUCGUCCGCUCAGGGUUAGUCAGGACCUAAGCCGAGGCCGACAGGCGUAGGCGAUGGACAACAGGUUGAUAUUCCUGUACCACCUCUUUAUCGUUUGAGCAAUGGAGGGACGCAGAAGGAUAGAAGAAGCGUGCGAUUGGUUGUGCACGUCCAAGCAGUUAGGCUGAUAAGUAGGCAAAUCCGCUUAUCGUGAAGGCUGAGCUGUGAUGGGGAAGCUCCUUAUGGAGCGAAGUCUUUGAUUCCCCGCUGCCAAGAAAAGCUUCUAGCGAGAUAAAAGGUGCCUGUACCGCAAACCGACACAGGUAGGCGAGGAGAGAAUCCUAAGGUGUGCGAGAGAACUCUGGUUAAGGAACUCGGCAAAAUGACCCCGUAACUUCGGGAGAAGGGGUGCUUUCUUAACGGAAAGCCGCAGUGAAUAGGCCCAAGCGACUGUUUAGCAAAAACACAGCUCUCUGCGAAGCCGUAAGGCGAAGUAUAGGGGGUGACACCUGCCCGGUGCUGGAAGGUUAAGGAGAGGGGUUAGCGUAAGCGAAGCUCUGAACUGAAGCCCCAGUAAACGGCGGCCGUAACUAUAACGGUCCUAAGGUAGCGAAAUUCCUUGUCGGGUAAGUUCCGACCCGCACGAAAGGUGUAACGAUUUGGGCACUGUCUCAACCAGAGACUCGGUGAAAUUAUAGUACCUGUGAAGAUGCAGGUUACCCGCGACAGGACGGAAAGACCCCGUGGAGCUUUACUGUAGCCUGAUAUUGAAUUUUGGUACAGUUUGUACAGGAUAGGCGGGAGCCAUUGAAACCGGAGCGCUAGCUUCGGUGGAGGCGCUGGUGGGAUACCGCCCUGACUGUAUUGAAAUUCUAACCUACGGGUCUUAUCGACCCGGGAGACAGUGUCAGGUGGGCAGUUUGACUGGGGCGGUCGCCUCCUAAAGUGUAACGGAGGCGCCCAAAGGUUCCCUCAGAAUGGUUGGAAAUCAUUCGUAGAGUGCAAAGGCAUAAGGGAGCUUGACUGCGAGACCUACAAGUCGAGCAGGGACGAAAGUCGGGCUUAGUGAUCCGGUGGUUCCGCAUGGAAGGGCCAUCGCUCAACGGAUAAAAGCUACCCCGGGGAUAACAGGCUUAUCUCCCCCAAGAGUCCACAUCGACGGGGAGGUUUGGCACCUCGAUGUCGGCUCAUCGCAUCCUGGGGCUGUAGUCGGUCCCAAGGGUUGGGCUGUUCGCCCAUUAAAGCGGUACGCGAGCUGGGUUCAGAACGUCGUGAGACAGUUCGGUCCCUAUCCGUCGUGGGCGUAGGAAAUUUGAGAGGAGCUGUCCUUAGUACGAGAGGACCGGGAUGGACGCACCGCUGGUGUACCAGUUGUUCUGCCAAGGGCAUAGCUGGGUAGCUAUGUGCGGAAGGGAUAAGUGCUGAAAGCAUCUAAGCAUGAAGCCCCCCUCAAGAUGAGAUUUCCCAUAGCGUAAGCUAGUAAGAUCCCUGAAAGAUGAUCAGGUUGAUAGGUUCGAGGUGGAAGCAUGGUGACAUGUGGAGCUGACGAAUACUAAUAGAUCGAGGACUUAACCA
rnacentral:rRNA from 1 species